CCUGAUCGCCUUGCUGCCGGAUUGUGCUGUGUGCUCAGCUCGCUGCUCUUGGUAUGUUAAUCACAUACUUUAUUGUAUUGCUUUAAAAGUUUUGCGGUUGCCGCCAGGGUUGGCUUUUGUCUCCAACAGUUCCUCACUGGGUCUUCUCUCUCCUGCAUUGAACUUGAUCUCUCAUUGCGGGACCCAGAGUGUGUGUUCCUGCAUCCCCACACAGCUGGGGUUGAUCAGCUGAGUGGCUGUUGAUUGUUCUGUGGCGCUGCAGGUGCCUUUGUUAAGGCCGCCACUAUCGCCAUCUAACUUUGAUUCGACGGCGUUCUGCUUCAUGUGAGGUGACGUCAACACCCUUGGGACUAAGUUUUAUUUUAGUAACCUGUUGCCUCAGCUUCCUCAUUUUGUUGGCAUUUAGUUUAUUAUGGUUUAAAUCAUUUGUUAUUAUUUUGUGAUUUGUGUGUUUUUGUGUUUUGUUUCUCCGGUUGAGUACUUUGUUUUGUUAGUUAUUUGUAUUUGGUUUAUUUGCAUGUUUGUUUGGUUUGGUCAUUUCUAAAUAUUUUGAGUUAUUUUUCUUUUUUUUGCUUGCUAGUUUUCUUUAUUUUGGUAUUUGUGGUUUAUUUCUGAUUUAACCAGAAUUUGCUAUUUGCACAUCAAUUUUAUAGGCAACAUUGUUGCUAUAGUUAAGAGAAGUGUGUGUGUGCGUGUGUGUGUGUGUUUGUGUGUGAAUGAGUGUGGAUGAAUGAGUGGAAAAGAUUUUAUUAACUUUGUUUAUUGG